rnacentral:rRNA from 1 species
AUACAGAGGGUGCGAGCGUUAAUGGGAAUUACUGGGCGUAAAGCGCGCGUAGGCGGCUUGGUCAGUCGGAUGUGAAAGCCCCGGGCUCAACCUGGGAAUGGCAUUCGAUACUGCCAGGCUAGAGUAUGGGAGAGGGAAGUGGGAUUUCCGGUGUAGCGGUGAAAUGCGUAGAUAUCGGAAGGAACACCAGUGGCGAAGGCGACUUCCUGGCCCAAUACUGACGCUGAGGUGCGAAAGCGUGGGGAGCGAACAGGAUUAGAUACCCUAGUAGUCC